rnacentral:rRNA from 1 species
CCUACGGGAGGCAGCAGUGAGGAAUAUUGGUCAAUGGACGAGAGUCUGAACCAGCCAAGUAGCGUGAAGGAUGACUGCCCUAUGGGUUGUAAACUUCUUUUAUAUGGGAAUAAAAUGUUCCACGUGUGGGAUUUUGUAUGUACCAUAUGAAUAAGGAUCGGCUAACUCCGUUCCAGCAGCCGCGGUAAUACGGAGGAUCCGAGCGUUAUCCGGAUUUAUUGGGGUUAAAGGGAGCGUAGGUGGAUUGUUAAGUCAGUUGUGAAAGUUUGCGGCUCAACCGUAAAAUUGCAGUUGAAACUGGCAGUCUUGAGUACAGUAGAGGUGGGCGGAAUUCGUGGUGUAGCGGUGAAAUGCUUAGAUAUCACGAAGAACUCCGAUUGCGAAGGCAGUUCACUGGACUGCAACUGACACUGAGGCUCGAAAGUGUGGGUAUCAAACAGGAUUAGAUACCCUUGUAGUC